CUUUUCUAUCUUUGUUUAAAUAACACCAACCUAGAAGCUUAUUUCUUCCAACUAGCUUUUCCUUAUUAUCACUAGAAAUCCAUUGCAAAAUAUAUAAGAGCCGCAGUUUCUUGUUCUUUCUCACCUUCUCUUUUCAUCUUUGGGAAAAUC